rnacentral:lncRNA from 1 species
ACAAAAUCCUUUUGUCAAAAGGAUAAGACUAGCCAUCAGGUGGGGUGUGGGUGAAACUGUGAAUAUUAAACAAACAAAAUCCUUUGACCAAAACAAAACAAAACAAAAUCCUUUUGUCAAAAGAACAGAGAAGCACGCGUGAGAAAACAAAAUGAAAAUGGAGAAGAGAACCCGAAGCCGCCAACAAUGAAGAAUGAAGAAGAAGAAAUUGAUGAGUAGGGGCGCCGCUGGAUGAAGAAGAAAAAAGGAAGAUCUGGGCUUCUUAAGGACGAAGAAGAAGAAUUGAUGAGUGGGGGCACCGCUGGAUGAAGAAGAAGAAGGAAGAUCUGAAAGAAGAAGAAGUGGAGACGUUUCCUGAUACGCGUAUCCUAAACAUCGGAUACUCGUAUUUGUAAUGUCAGAAUGCGCAUAUCUUUUUGUCGUUGAUCGUAUUUGUUUACUAGGAUACGUAUCCAUCACGUAUCCGCACGUAUUCACAGCGUAUCGUAUCCCUAAGCGUAUCGGAUACGGAAUACGCACCUCAAUCAGCGUAUCCGUGCUUCUUAGGUUGUAAGAUUAUGAAUAUAUAAUGGGAAUGUGGAAUGAAAUUAUAGUGGGAAUGUGGAGUUUUUUAUUGUCAUUGUAUUGCUCCCCUAUUGCAUUUCUAUUGUCAUCGUAUUACCAUUGUAGUGUUGUGGUAUUGUCUGGUUAUUGCACUUAUAUUUGUUUCUUAU